rnacentral:ncRNA from 1 species
CGAUGACGGCCGCGGCAAAGCCUAGCGAGCAGCCGCGAACCGAGUCUUGCGUGGCGUCCGGUAACGGCCGUUGCGAAGCGUAGACAGAGAGGUUGCAGGCCGGAACGACAGUGAACGGGAACAUAGCCCCGAAAUCGAUCGUGAUCGGAGUAGCCGACCCUAUCCCGCAAAGGGGAAGGCGGAAUCGCAGCCCGCGCUAUAGCGAGCGGCCUGAGAUGCUCCCGGGGUUCGUACCG